rnacentral:rRNA from 1 species
CCUACGGGUGGCUGCAGUAGGGAAUCUUCCACAAUGGGCGAAAGCCUGAUGGAGCAACGCCGCGUGUGUGAUGAAGGCUUUCGGGUCGUAAAGCACUGUUGUAUGGGAAGAACAGCUAGAAUAGGAAAUGAUUUUAGUUUGACGGUACCAUACCAGAAAGGGACGGCUAAAUACGUGCCAGCAGCCGCGGUAAUACGUAUGUCCCGAGCGUUAUCCGGAUUUAUUGGGCGUAAAGCGAGCGCAGACGGUUUAUUAAGUCUGAUGUGAAAGCACGGAGCUCAACUCCGGAAUGGCAUUGGAAACUGGUUAACUUGAGUGCAGUAGAGGUAAGUGGAACUCCAUGUGUAGCGGUGGAAUGCGUAGAUAUAUGGAAGAACACCAGUGGCGAAGGCGGCUUACUGGACUGCAACUGACGUUGAGGCUCGAAAGUGUGGGUAGCAAACAGGAUUAGAUACCCGAGUAGUC